GAGGGGGACGGGGCGUGUUCCUGGUUCGAAUGUUUUAGUUCAGACCGAGUGUUUCUGUCGCCGCCGCGGUGGAAAGCCCUGCGGUAUCCAGUCGUUUCCACGCCCAACCUGUUAGGUGCUGCCUUUCGCAGUCAUGUCCCACUCUUUGGAAAAGUUGGAGGAAAGCUGGGAAAAGGACCAGCCGGAGGUAGACGUGAGCGACCGGGGCAUCUCCAACAUGCUGACGUCAGCGGCUUGUGUAAGUCUCGGAAGGCUUUUGCCUCGGAGGAAAAGUUUAACAACUGCUGGUCGCAGUGUGAGACGUUAUAAUGGUUUACAUAUCACCCUCUGCAUGUAAACAGCACUUCUCAAGGGCUUAGCUCAGAAAGCUUGCAGUGAGAAUUUGUUCUGUCCCAGCUGAAAAACGGACCAGAGAACCUGGUUAGGAAUCACACAGACCGUGCCUGCUGGACCUCAUCAGUUGUCUGUGCUGAUUAAUGGCGUUUGGGUGGAUUUUCCACACAGUUUACUAAAUAGCCACGGGUUUUUUAAUGGAAAAUUAUUUCUGAAUCAUUUUUCCAUUCUCUUACUAUAGUCUUUGGCCCUUGAAUAGAUCCCACAAAAAAGUUACAUAAUAAUUAUUCUUGUACUUGAAGGGAGUUAAACAUUUCUUGACUCAUUACCUUUUGCUGGGUUUAGUCUCUUAACAGUUCAGACUUUUGUUACCUCCUCCUGUGCUCUUGUGCUGUCUUCCUACCUUUCCCGCUUGCCUCCAGUUUUACUACUGCUGUACUUUAGGCACUGUAUCGCUUUCAGUGUUGUUUCCCCUAACAUGUAUCUUACUGUAACUCUAGAGGAUUGCAGACUCACAUGGCUUCAGGGGCCAGGUGAGAAUGGUCAUGAAUUCCAGCUUUAAUAGGUAUCCUCUCUAAAGGGUUAAGCUGUUACACCUGCCACUCAGAUCCAAAGAAAUGUUACCACGUAGGGAUGUUGGCCCAGUGUUGUCAGAUUUUUUCUAUGAAGCCAAGAAUCCAGAUUUUUAUUUGCAAAUGUGUAAUUUUUAGAUGUUGGCAACUAAUUCCACAUUAGUGGUGAAGUCAGACACUUCUUCAGGCUGAAUGUGGCUGAAGUUUGGACCUUCUCCCUCGCUUGGCCAUUGCUAAUGGUAAUGCUCCAGGUUCCUUGGGGGGACCUGUUUCUUUCUGAAUCUGAUUCAGAUUAUGUAAUACAGUACUUGGCAUGAUUACAUUAACUGUAAUAUAAGGAUUCUCAUAGUCUUGUACUUAUAAGUGUUUAAUUGUGGUCAUGAGGUUUUAGCGCCUGUUCCUUCCAUGCAUCUGGCACCUCCGCCAUGCUGAACUGAUGGUCCUUCCUGAACCAGGGCACUCUUGCAGGUUUUGUAAUAUUGUUCCCUCCCUUUCCAUCAUCUCCCCCCGCCCAAUCCUUCUGCUUAACUGUUGAGAGUCAGCUCAGACCUCACAGCUUGUGUGAGGCCUUCUGUGUCUGUAUCAAGCUGAUUUCGAGUCCCGCCCCCUUAGUGAAGUUGGAUGCACCUUGCUUCCUGACUCGUGUUACUCAGGAUCGUGAUGUGUUCUUAAUCCAGAGCCUCUCUCCCCCACCAGAAGGCUGGGGGGAUGGAAGCAGUGCAGUGUUCCCAUGGGCCUCCUUUGUUAUAGUGCCUGGAACAUGAUAGGUGCUCAAAAGUGUUUGACAGAUGAAGGAAGGAGUGAUGGAUUAAGCCUGCAAGUUGAUGAGCUCCAGACCUGGAUGUGACACUGGAGAAGGGGAGAUGUCCAGGGGACCCUAAAAGGGGACGGUUCACUUGUAAGGCCUGGAGAGAGUAGAGUCAGUUACCAUGAAGCCCUGGUUUGCACCCGGGACAGAGCUCAGGCUUCGUGCCAUUGAUGCAUCUCGGCAAAGGGCAAGGGGAUGCGAAGCCAGAGGUGAUGGGUGUUUGGUCAUCCCCAGGGAUUAGCUGCUCUUAAGCUCAGCUUUUGUACGAGUUAGCAUCUCAGCCUCCUGGGAUGUGCUGGCCUCUCUCAGGGGUGACAGCUUCUUGGUGGCUGCAACAGAGCAGGUGUCUGCAGUACUGCACUGGGAUUUACGGAUCUGGAUGUAUCCUCGCCCUGCCCUGCCCUGCCCUGCCGGGGCCGUGAUGGUCCUUGGGGACACAGCUGCAUCACAGGCAGAGGAUGGUGAGCGGCAAGCAGGGGGCCUGGCUGGGCUGUGCCGUUGCCCCACAGCUCGCUGCUCCUCAGGACUCUUUUUUUUUCUUAGAGGGUUGAAAAAAGGUUGCUUUCACCAGAGGAGCUUUCUACUCCUCAGCUUUGAAGAGGAGUCUCUGUGCAUGUUUAUAAGUGCAGAGGGUGGCGGGAGCUAUUUCAGUCUGGUUGUAUUAUCUCUUGGAAGCCUUGGCUUUUACUGAGAAAGAAAAGAUAGCCACUUGCCUCCUGAAGAAGUGGUUUCCGGUGUAACAUGAGGUGCUGAAAAGUAGGGUCAUUCUUGCAUUUUCCUAAAGAAGUCACUUUAGGAAGAGCAAGAGCGAUUCUUGGAGAGUUUAGUGGAAAUGAAUUUGGAUAUUCCUCCUCCUCUGACCUCUGGAAUGUUCUAGACCUGGGAGUGGCUGCUUCCUACUAUAAUGCCCGACUUCUGGAGUCUGGAGGGUCCAGGAUGUUUUCAGAAUCCCGCCUUCCACUGGGGCUUGUUUAGCAAGUGGAACAUAGCAUGCUAUAUAAUUUAAUAUUUUAGGGAGUUCCUGUUGUGGCUCAUUGAGUUAAAGACCCAACGUUGUCUAUGUGAGGAUGCAGGUUCAAUCCCUGGCCUCACUCCAUGGUUUAAGGAUCUGGCAUUGCAGCAAGUUGCAGCCUGGGUUGCAGAUGUGGCUUGGAUCUGGUGGGGCUGUGGUGUGGGCCUGCAGUUGCAGCUCCCAUUCAACUCCUAGCCCAGAAACUUCCAUAUGUUGCAGGUGCAGCCAUAAAAAGGGGGAAAAAAUGAUGUAUUAAAAUACUUGGCAUGAUUACAUUAGCUGUAAUAUAAGGAUUCUCCUUGUCUUUACUUAGAAAAUUUUAACUGUAAUCAUGGGGUUCUACGUAUUAGUAUCAAGAUUGAGGAGUUCCCAUCAUGGCUCAGCAGAAACAAAUCUGACUGGCAUCCAUGAGGACCCAGUUUCAAUCCCUGGCCUAACUUAGUGGGUUGAGGAUCCAGCGUUGUGGUGAGCUAUGGUGUAGGUCGCAGAUGCAGUUCAAUUCUGGCUUUGCUGUGGCGUAGGCUCGCAGCUACAACUCCAAUUCAACCCCUAGCCUGGGAACCUCCAUAUGCUGCAGAUGCGGCCCUAAAAAAAGAAAAAAAAAA
rnacentral:lncRNA from 1 species